CUCCUUUUUUUCAGAUGGGCCAGAGGGCAGACGGGCCGGUCGACCGGGGAGCUCGGCCCCUUUCUCGGUUUUUUUUUUGGCUUCGUGGGCCGGGAGUCCCGGCCUGAGGGGCUUCUCUUCUUCUUGUGCAGGCUGGGUGGCCCGAGGGGCUCGGCGCGCUUUCUUUGUCUUUUUCGGAAUUUUCCGUGCUUUGCUAAUUUUUUGUGGGUCUUUUUGCAGGUGAGAUGGCGGGACCCGAUGUCGAGCGUUCGGUGGGCGAGCCAGCGAGGGGGCCUUCGGCGGUGCA
rnacentral:lncRNA from 1 species